GCGCGAAAACUUUACAAUGCGGGAAACCGCGAUAAGGGGACACCGAGUGCCAGCAUCCUAUGUUGGCUGUCCAUAUGUAUAAAUAACAUGUGUUAGCAAGGGCCGGGCAAGACCGGUGCCAGCCGCCGCGGUAACACCGGCGGCCCGAGUGGUGGCCACUAUUAUUGGGUCUAAAGGGUCCGUAGCCGGUUUGGUCAGUCUUCCGGGAAAUCUGACGGCUUAACCGUUAGGCUUUCGGGGGAUACUGCCAGGCUUGGGACCGGGAGAGGUAAGAGGUACUACGGGGGUAGGAGUGAAAUCUUGUAAUCCCUGUGGGACCACCAGUGGCGAAGGCGUCUUACCAGAACGGGUCCGACGGUGAGGGACGAAAGCUGGGGGCACGAACC
rnacentral:rRNA from 1 species